AACCUCAACACAGAAAACCUCACCCAGCCUGGACACGGACAGUAUUGACAGAUCGAUAACUCUUUCUCAAUUACGUGGGUGGUGGUGUAUGGCCGUUCUUAGUUGGUGGAGCAAUUUGUCUGGUUAAUUCCAAUAAUGAAUGAGACUGAAAUGCUAACUAGUAGAGACGGAGUUUCGCCAUGUUGGCCAGGCUAGUCUCUAACUUCUGACCUCAAGUGAUCCACUCGCUUUGGCCUCCCAAUGUGCUGGGAUUACAGGCAUGAGCCACCAUGCCUGGCCCCUCCUUCUAUUUUAUAGACAUGGACACAGAGGCAUGGGGGGAAGUUAAGUGACUUUGGAUACAUUGCUAAAAAUCAAUGUAUCUCAAAUGCAGUGGAAACAUGCUCUUCCCUCACCAGGUUAGGACU
rnacentral:ncRNA from 1 species